CAUUACAAUCGGAAAUGUUCCGGUCAAUUGAAAGAACGCAUAUUACAUCAUUUUAAAAGGUACAAAUGAAACAAUGAAAAACAUUGAAUUGUAUUAAAAUGAGUUAUGUUCUUAUCGUGCGCUUACCAUGGUUGUAACGGGUAACGAAGAAUCAGGGUUCGAUUUCGGAGAGGGAGCCUGAGAAACGGCUACCUCAUGCAAGGAAGGCAG
rfam:Oryctes borbonicus contig20855, whole genome shotgun sequence.